UACGUAGGGGGCGAGCGUUGUCCGGAAUUAUUGGGCGUAAAGAGCUCGUAGGCGGCUUGGCAAGUCGGAUGUGAAAACUCCAGGCUCAACCUGGAGCCGCCAUUCGAUACUGCUAUGGCUAGAGUCCGGUAGGGGAGUGUGGAAUUCCCGGUGUAGCGGUGAAAUGCGCAGAUAUCGGGAGGAACACCGAUGGCGAAGGCAGCACUCUGGGCCGGCACUGACGCUGAGGAGCGAAAGCGUGGGGAGCGAACAGG
rnacentral:rRNA from 1 species